rnacentral:lncRNA from 1 species
UAUAUCAGGAAUGACAACCCCCUCUCUCAGCAAAAGUUUUUCCCACCAGUUCCCUCUGCUCAGCUGCUUUUCCCUGGUUUGAUAGCUCUCACUGGAGCAAGUCUGGACCCGACAGAGUGGGGUGUGAUCUCCCAAGCCAGCAAUUCUCCCCAGGAUUGGGCCUCCAGUUAAGAUGGAAAGCAGAGACGAGCCCUAGAUGGAGCCCCAUCCAUCUGAACCUUGGUGAGUGAAAUGGUAGUGAUUUUGUUAUUGUUUUACAGGGUGACUGAUAUCAAUUUUAUUCUGUUCUGCAGUAUUUUUUUUUCAAAACUCAUUUCAUUUCUCUAAUUUUAGAAAAA